AUUCUCGAUGAUAUUGAUGAGUGCAAUGAGUGGCUAGUUGGGGAGUUGGAUGAUGAUGAUGAUGAUAUUGAUGGUGGUAAUCAUUUGGUUCAUGAUGACGAUGAUACACUUGAUUGGAACAUGGUGUAUAAGGCUUCGGGUGUUGGAGAGCCUAGGACAUAUACUAGGUCAAAGAAGAGGAAAGAAUCUUCUACAUCUAGUUCAAGUUGUCUUAGAGUUUCUAA